CGGCAACAGCUCAAAUUUGAAAUCUGGCAUCCGCCCGAGUUGUAAUUUGCAGAGGAAGCUUUUGACGAGGUUCCUUCCGAGUGCCCUGGAAUGGGACGCCAUAGAGGGUGAGAGCCCCGUAUGGUUGGAUACCGAGUCUCUGUAUAGCUCCUUCGAC
rnacentral:rRNA from 1 species